CAGUGGAAAUUUCCUCUAGGAAGCAGCUUUGUUUCGAAGUUCAGACGGAUUAAAACGACGCUAAAACGUGCUGGCGGGACGGGGAGCCCCGCCCGGAGGCAUUUUGUUCUGGGGGUGUUGCGGGGACUUUCUUCUUUCUCAUUAUUUUUAUUUCGAUUUGUUAUGUUUUUCAUUUAUUUCCCGCUUCGGUGCCGAGCCUCACGUUGAGACGUGACGUGAAGAAUGGAGCGUGGAAAAGCGGGCGGUAAAUGCCGAGCUUAGAGGCUCCUUCAGAGCCGAGAGAUGUUCCUUCACUCCUCAGUUUCCCAGGAGGGAGAACCUGAACGGGAGCCGGGCAGAAAGCCCUUCUUCCCACAUGACUCCAAUACUAAAUGGGACGAGCCACAAAAAAGGCAGCCUUGCUUUCAGGCAGCAAUACGUUGCUAUUGAAGAAAUGUGCACAGCUCUAGGAGAGCUUAUUUUAGCCGUCAGGAGAGCGAGGAGAACCCUGUGCCGUCAAGCUGAGGGUGCCGAUUUCGCAUAUUUGCGGUGAGAGAAGCGGAGCAUUGGGAAGCGGCAGAAAAAAUGGGGGGAAAGGAAUACAGAUGACAGCUCCCGCCGGGAAGCGAAUCAAAGUUAUAGAGUGGAAACGUGCGGCUAUCACGGGCUGCUCUUCAGCGAGCGGUUGGAAACCAUAAACAUAUAAAUACAGAACUAA